UACGAAGGGUGCAAGCGUUACUCGGAAUUACUGGGCGUAAAGCGUGCGUAGGCGGUUUGUUAAGUCUGUCGUGAAAGCCCCGGGCUCAACCUGGGAAUGGCGAUGGAUACUGGCGAGCUAGAGUACGGUAGAGGAGAGUGGAAUUCCCGGUGUAGCAGUGAAAUGCGUAGAGAUCGGGAGGAACAUCAGUUGCGAAGGCGGCUCUCCGGACCAGUACUGACGCUGAGGCACGAAAGCGUGGGGAGCAAACAGG
rnacentral:rRNA from 1 species